GAUGAACGUUAGCGGCAGGCUUAACACAUGCAAGUCGAGGGGUAUAGUUCUUCGGAGCUAGAGACCGGCGCACGGGUGCGUAACGCGUAUGCAAUCUACCUUUUGCAGAGGGAUAGCCCAGAGAAAUUUGGAUUAAUACCUCAUGGUAUGUGAGAAUGGCAUCAUUUUCACAUUAAAGUCACAACGGCAAAAGAUGAGCAUGCGUCCCAUUAGCUAGUUGGUAAGGUAACGGCUUACCAAGGCAACGAUGGGUAGGGGUCCUGAGAGGGAGAUCCCCCACACUGGUACUGAGACACGGACCAGACUCCUACGGGAGGCAGCAGUGAGGAAUAUUGGACAAUGGGCGCAAGCCUGAUCCAGCCAUGCCGCGUGCAGGAUGACGGUCCUAUGGAUUGUAAACUGCUUUUGUACAGGAAGAAACACUGGUUCGUGAACCAGCUUGACGGUACUGUAAGAAUAAGGAUCGGCUAACUCCGUGCCAGCCGCCGCGGUAACAC
rnacentral:rRNA from 1 species